AUGAAAGCUAUCCAAAGAACAGCAUUCUUCUUUGCAUUGCAGAUUUCAUGAGAAACUCCCCUGUGUAGAUCAUUGGAACAGCUCGUAUCUACAUGGCAGAACAUUUAAGCAUGCAGUUAUAGACACAUUGAAGUGCAUUUCCAAAUGCUUUGAUGAUUCUGGCUCGUUGUUGGAUCCUAAGGGCUGAGAAAGGAAAUAGGACAUAUCCAAGCUUAGGUUUUGGCUGGAAGAUGUUUGGGGAAAUUUGUCUUUCAAUAUAGAUAUAGAAAGCUAGCAAAGCUCUGGUACAGGGCGAGAAUUCAAACCUUGGAAAGUAGGAUUUGACCUGUACACACAAAUAUGUAAUUCUUUUUCAUAAGAACAACAACAACAACAAAAAAUCCAUUUAUAGAAACUAUUGUUCUGGGGAGGUAAACAAGCUACAUGGAUCUGAGAAAAAAAAUGGUGCAUGUCUACUGACAACAGAAUGAAGUACAAAGGCCUUGGAUAUAAUAUACUGCUCCUGUAGACUGCAAUGGUCUCUGCAGGCUCCAGAAGACCCUUGUGGGUGAAUGCAGAUAAUCGCUGGGAGAAGAAAGGGGAGAAUUUGUAAACCAGGAAAAAACAAUGCUUCAGGCUUUUACAUGUCAUCCAGUCAAAAUCUGUUACGCUACAAAGAUCUUCAGAUGUGUUUGACAUUCCUGCCUACAGUGCUGAGUGUUUAUAUAUGGGCAGAUUACUCCCUAGUGUCCUCUGAAGAUGAUACUGGCCACACUGAAUGAACUGACAUUUUUCAGUAUUCAUUUAAGCCCCAGUUAAUGCUAAAUUCCACCCUUUGAGUUCAAUGAAUCAAAAUUGAAUGCUAAUAAUUACUGUAUUUGCAAUCCCACAGGCUUUACCACCCUUGAGACAGAGCAUAAGCAUUCAAUUAAAGAGGGAUGAAACUCAAAGUGCUGCCUUGUAAAUUGGCCCAAAUAUCAUACAGUAAAUUACGUGUUUUUAAGGUUUACGUGAACUCAUAAGAUAUCUGAGAGAUAUUGUUGCUACGGAGUCCAUUAAGAAGGGGUGAAUUUUUAUCAAUUCUAGUGAAGGCAAAUGGUCUAGACAAAAAGGCUGACACAUUCACUGCAUGAGUAUUAAUAUAGUCUUGAUUGUCUUUUUCUCAGUAUCUUCAUAACUUUUCAUGUGACCUUCCUUGUAAAUCUUUUUAAAACUUUAUCACAGUAGGAAUGAAGUAAAUGUUUGUGGACACUGUCACAGUUCAUUAUACUCCCAUCACAUCCUGAGACCACAUAUUAAUAUCAAUAUCUGAGGAAGAUUCUCAAGCUUUGCUGCUUAAGAUAUCAG
ensembl:lncRNA